AAUGAACGCUGGCGGCGUGCUUAACACAUGCAAGUCGUGCGCGAAAGGGGCUUCGGCCCUGAGUAGAGCGGCGAACGGGUGAGUAACACGUGGGUAAUCUACCUAGGAGUGGGGGAUAACCUGGGGAAACUCGGGCUAAUACCGCAUUCGUCCGCGAGAUCUCGGUCUUGCGGGGAAAGCUGACCUCUACUUGUAAGUUGGCGCUCCUAGAGGAGCCCGCGGCUGAUUAGCUAGUUGGUGAGGUAACGGCUCACCAAGGCGACGAUCAGUAGCCGGCCUGAGAGGGUGACCGGCCACACUGGAACUGAGACACGGUCCAGACUCCUACGGGAGGCUG
rnacentral:rRNA from 1 species